GGACCAUGGCUCAGUGGCAGAGCAUCUGCUUUGCAUGCAGAAGACCCCGGGUUCAAGCCCCAGUAUCUCCA